GGGGGGAAAAAGAAAAGGUCAAUAAAUGAAAUAUAUGGCUAUCUACCAGUCAAUCUGAGGCACUUCCUUCUGUAGUGAUAUUAAGAAUUUAUUUGUUCAAGUGACUAUGCAUAAUUUAAGGGAAAAAAUGGUGGCAGAAACAAAGAACAGAUUAUUUUCUGCAGUUCAUCAUCAAAUAGUCAACUAGUAAUUAAAUGCUAUUUGAAAAAUAUUCUGAGACAGCGUGAUACUGAGAUUACUGCUUUUAUAAGCUGUUUCAGCUGAUUUCUUAUGAACAUCUUAAGGGACAAACAGAUUACUGUAACUUAAGGUAUCUCACUGCAGCAAAACAUAAGCUCUGAAUCUUUCCCUACUCCUGAAGGAAGAUAUAGUCUUUGUAUUAGAAGACUGGAACUGAAAAAGGGUUGGAUAGUUUAUUUAUCUGAGCCAAAACUUACACUCAAGUACGUCUUUUGCAAAGCAAGAAUUCUGUCACUAGAUGGUGAUCUUGGCCUUUGCAUGAUUUCUGCUCUUCCUUUCUCCUCUCCCACAUUAUUCCCAUGCUGCACUUCCAGAUGGUGACCAAGACAAUAAUCCUCACCUCCAGUUCAGCUUUAAAGCUGUUUCAGAAUAUCAUGUUUACAAAUGUAAAAAGUCUUAAGACUUGAAGUCUAAGGGCAAACAGAAACAAUUCAUUUACAUCGUUCUCCCAGUUUUCUUUGUAUACGAUGUCCUGUACUCAAGACAUUAUUAUUUACGACCAGUAUUGUUCUUGUGAGUAUUGUGCUGUAUAACAUGAAUGCUUUUAACACUCAAAAGCUACAGAAAUAGAUGAUAAAACACAGAGCUGAAAUACUUAAGUGAAUAUUGAAUUACUCUUUAUAUGGCUAGCAGGUGACACAGUUGAUUUUUUUUUUAACAGAAGAGUGGAACAGUACUGUCUUGAUUUUGUAGUCCAGGAUACAGAACUUUUGACUGGUGUAAAUCUGAGAGGAGCUGUCGAACUGGUACAGAAGCAAAUCUCUCCUUGAAAAUUUGACUCCUUACAGCAUGUGUUUGUUUUUUUUUGUCUACAUUCUUUCAUUCCAUGUGGUGCAUAUCUAAUUCUGCCCCCUUAGAGACAUCCAGUGACAAGCUGGGAAUAUUUUAGUAGUUUACUCAACAUUUACUAAAUUGUUUUCUGUUUGCUCAUGCAAGUCAGAACUCAGUCUUGCAUAGUCCUGCUUUAGGCUCACUUGUUGUCAGUACAGUGCCGUUCCGUUAAAACUAUUAUUCCAUCUUGUGUUUUGGAAAGUGAAGAUCCCUUUG
ensembl:lncRNA